rfam:Heligmosomoides polygyrus genome assembly, scaffold: HPBE_scaffold0014876
GCGCCGGUGGUGUAAGGCGAACAUCGCUGCCCGGAAAGCAGAAGAUGCGGGUUCGAGUCCCUCCUGGCGCA